GGAGAACAGUGGCUCAGUGGUAGAGCAUCUGAUUUGCAUGGAGAAGGUCCCAGGUUCAGUCCCUGACAUAUCCU